GCUUCGUUGGCUCAGUUGGUAGAGCGUAGGUCUCAUAUUUGAGUAUGACUGCAUAAUUUGCGGUGAUCCUAAGGUCGCAAGUUCGAGCCUUGCACGGAGCA
rfam:Botryobasidium botryosum FD-172 SS1 unplaced genomic scaffold BOTBOscaffold_51, whole genome shotgun sequence.